AGCGGCGGACGGCAGAGUAACGCGUAGGAACAUACCCCAAACGGAGGGAUAACUCCGAGAAAUCGGGGCUAAUACCGCAUGUGAUCUUCGGAUUAAAGCUUCGGCGGUUUGGGAAUGGCCUGCGUAUGAUUAGCUUGUUGGUGAGGUAAAAGCUCACCAAGGCGACGAUCAUUAGCUGGUCUGAGAGGAUGAUCAGCCUGACUGGGACUGAGACACGGCCCAGACUCCUACGGGAGGCAGCAGUAGGGAAUUUUCCACAAUGGGCGAAAGCCUGAUGGAGCAACGCCGCGUGCAGGAUGAAGGCCUUCGGGUUGUAAACUGCUUUUAUUUGUGACGAUUAUGACGGUAACAAAUGAAUAAGGACCUGCUAACUACGUGCCAGCAGCCGCGGUCAUACGUGGGGUCCAAGCGUUAUCCGGAAUUACUGGGCGUAAAGAGUUGCGUAGGUGGCAGAGUAAGUAGGUAGUGAAAUUGUGUGGCUCAACCAUACACCCAUUAUCUAAACUGCUCAGCUAGAGUAUGGGAGAGGUCACUGGAAUUUCUUGUGUAGGAGUGAAAUCCGUAGAUAUAAGAAGGAACACCGGUGGCGUAGGCAGGUGACUGGCCCAUUACUGACACUAAGGCACGAAAGCGUGGGGAGCGAACUGGAUUAGAUACCCAGGUAGUCCACGCCGU
rnacentral:rRNA from 1 species